AAGGGUAUAGCUCAGUGGUAGAGUCCACGCUUAGCAUGCAUGAAAUCCUGGGUUCAAUCUCCAGUACCUCCA
rnacentral:tRNA from 1 species